CCCAUCGUCUGGGAUGUGAGGAGCCCCUCUGCCUGGCUGCCCAGUCUGGAAAGUGAGGAGCAUCUCCGCCCGGCCGCCAUCCCAUCUAGGAAGUGAGGAGCGCCUCUUCCCAGCCGCCAUCACAUCUAGGAAGUGAGGAGCGUCUCUGCCCGGCCGCCCAUCGUCUGAGAUGUGGGGAGCGCCUCUGCUCCGCCGCCCCAUCUGGGAUGUGAGGAGCGCCUCUGCCCGGCCGAGACCCCGUCUGGGAGUGUAAAGAACUGGCCAAGUCCAAGGCAGAAGUGGCCUGCAUCGCAGUGUACGAAACAGACGUGUUUGUCGUCGGAACCGAGAGAGGAUGCGCUUUUGUUAAUGCCAGGACGGAUUUUCAGAAAGAUUUUGCAAAAUACUGUAGGCGUUUUAAUUUUAUCCUUUGUAUUCCCAAUCUCAAAAGGAUCGCAGGCAAGACUUCCACAGUAUUUUCUUCUAAGCUAUCAUAAGCAUUCUCCUAGAAACGAUCCUAACACAUCUUCUUGGAUUCAGCUUACCAAAUAAACACUGCUUAACACUGCA
rnacentral:lncRNA from 1 species